rnacentral:rRNA from 1 species
UACCUGCAGCUCGAGUGGUAACCGCUAUUAUUGGGCCUAAAGCGUCCGUAGCCGGUUUGGUAAAUAUCUGGGUAAAUCGUGAGGCUUAACUUCACGAAUUUCGGAUAGACUGCCAGACUUGGGAUCGGGGGAGGUCAGAGGUACUCCAGGGGUAGCGGUGAAAUGUUGUAAUCCUUGGAGGACCACCGGUAGCGAAGGCGUCUGACUAGAACGAGUCCGACGGUGAGGGACGAAGCCCUGGGGCGCAAACCGGAUUAGAUACCCGGGUAGUCCAGGGUGUAAACGAUGUGGGCUUUGUAUUGGAGGUCCCACGUGGGCGUCCAGUGCAGAAGAGAAGUUGUUAAGCCCACCGCCUGGGAAGUACGGUCGCGAGGCUGAAACUUAAAGGAAUUGGCGGGGGAGCACAGCAACGGGAGGAGCGUGCGGUUU